UUUCAGUUUCUUCAGGUCAAGACAAGUCACUUUUAUAUCUAUAUCACAUUUAAAAAACAACUCUCAUUGGCCAAAGUGUUUUACAUUGGUGGAGGUACUAACGUUAUAUAACAUUGGUUCAUAGA